ACCCCUGUGACAUACCACUUGUUGCCUCGGCGGAUCAGCCCGCUCCCGGUAAAACGGGACGGCCCGCCAGAGGACCCCUAAACUCUGUUUCUAUAUGUAACUUCUGAGUAAAACCAUAAAUAAAUCAAAACUUUCAACAACGGAUCUCUUGGUUCUGGCAUCGAUGAAGAACGCAGCAAAAUGCGAUAAGUAAUGUGAAUUGCAGAAUUCAGUGAAUCAUCGAAUCUUUGAACGCACAUUGCGCCCGCCAGUAUUCUGGCGGGCAUGCCUGUUCGAGCGUCAUUUCAACCCUCAAGCACAGCUUGGUGUUGGGACUCGCGUUAAUUCGCGUUCCUCAAAUUGAUUGGCGGUCACGUCGAGCUUCCAUAGCGUAGUAGUAAAACCCUCGUUACUGGUAAUCGUCGCGGCCACGCCGUUAAACCCCAACUUCUGAAUGUUGACCUCGGAUCAGGUAGGAAUACCCGCUGAACUUAAGCAUAUCAA
rnacentral:rRNA from 1 species